rnacentral:rRNA from 1 species
UACGUAGGGGGCAAGCGUUAUCCGGAUUUACUGGGUGUAAAGGGAGCGUAGACGGUGCAGCAAGUCUGAUGUGAAAGGUCGGGGCCCAACCCCGGGACUGCAUUGGAAACUGUUGAACUGGAGUACAGGAGAGGUAAGCGGAAUUCCUAGUGUAGCGGUGAAAUGCGUAGAUAUUAGGAGGAACACCAGUGGCGAAGGCGGCUUACUGGACUGUAACUGACGUUGAGGCUCGAAAGCGUGGGGAGCAAACAGG